UAUAUGUUCAUGCUGUUCAUUUAUUUCAGAUUCAACUGGACGCUUAGGGAGGCAUCUGUCAAGUCUUCCCUUAGUUGUUUUACUGGGUUCUGGUUGGCCAAGAUUAGAAAUACAUUUUCCAGAUAUCUCACAUAUAGUGAGAAAUCCUUUUUGAGCAUUGAUAUCACAAAAAUUCUUUGUACCUUAGGACAAGUUCAGCAAUCACACCAGCCAUAGGAUUUUCUAUCGGUUCACUUCUCAUUUGUGUAAAAAAAACAAAUUUAAUUAACUUUUAAUGGUCUUAUUAUAAACAUUUUUACACUUAUGCCUUGUUUGUAGUGUUUUAUUUUUAAUGUCUCCACAUGCAUUUUUGUACUAAUAUUCACAUGAGCCA
rnacentral:lncRNA from 1 species